rnacentral:rRNA from 1 species
GAUGAACGCUGGCGGCGUGCCUAAUACAUGCAAGUCGAGCGGACAGACGUUGCGCUUUCUCCUCUCACGUUAGCGGCGGACGGGUGAGUGACACGUGGAUCACCUCCCUGUAAUACUGGGAUAACUUCGGGAAACCGGAGCUAAUACCGGUUCAUAUAUUUAACCGCAUGGUGCAAUAGUUAAAGACGGUUUUUCUGUCCCCUAUAUAUGGAUCCGCGCCGCGUUUGCUAGUCGGUAAGGUAACGGCUUACCAAGGCGACGAUGCGUAUGCGAGGUGGGAGGGGGAUAGGCCACACUGGAGGUGAGACACGGUCAAGACGCCUACGGGAGGCAGCAGAAGGGAACGUUACGCAGUGGGCGAAAGCCUGACGGAGCGACGGCGCGUGAGUGAUGACGGUCUUCGGAUCGUAAAACUCUGUUAUGGGGGAAGAACAAAUGUGUAAGUAAAUAUGCAGGUAGUGACGGUACCUAAUGAGAAAGCAACGGCUAACUACGUG